rnacentral:rRNA from 1 species
CUUAAUUGUUCCAGAGCAACUAGAAAGAGAUUCUUUAACCAGAAAGAAUUCGAUUCAGAUGUAGGAUACCUAUCCAGAAGUUUUCACAGCUGAAUCAUAGAUAAUGGAAUCAUCAAAGAUUUGACCUUUUUGAACUCUGUCUGUAACUCACUAGAGGCCUGGAAAAUAAAGAGAAGUGUACGAAUGAGAUAUCCAACAACAACAAGAAGGAAAAGGAUUGAAUUGAGGAACUCCCAACCAUUUGGCGAUCUUAGAUGUGUCGAUAUCAAUGGUGACUCAUUAUUUCGACGAAUCAUUUCUUCGAACAAAAGAAGACUAUGUAAACACUUACUUGAAAUCUCACUUAUCAGAUUUCAUUGUGGAAGACAUAAUUUUUCUGAAGAAUUCUCUAUGAUAUACCUGAUCCAUGCAUAAUAUCAUGAAAAGUGGAUACAAAUUUUUGACUGCUACUUAGUAUCGGAAAUAGGUCUGAAAAAGUAUCUAAAAAUAUCAAAUUUAGAUAUUUGUACCCUGUUGAAGUAAAGAACCAUGGCAUAUAUAUUUGGAAUAGAUUCCAUUUUGAGAGAAUUGAAAAAGCACUAUCUCUUCUAUAUAUCUGCCUUUUCUCAACGCAUUUCUUUAGGCAAAGACUUCAUUUUUUCCUCUUUUCGGAUGGUAAAUAUUUCUCAGAACAUUUAGUGUGAAUCAAACCCAUGUUUGAAUUGAAAUUGAGAUAUUGAUGCAAGUUCUUCCCUUCUGAAUCAGAUAGAUUCAUAUCUGAAAGAGGUUGACAAUAAGUUCUUUCAAAAUUGACUAUUUGUCCCUCUGUUAGAGGUGUUCCAUAAAUGUCUGCAAUCGAGUAAAUAGUUCUACGAACCAUUCGAACCCAGAACUAGCUGGUUUUCCGUAAAAUGCAUUGAGGCGCAGUAGUUGACUGGACAUCUAGGGAUAAAGCAAUGUUUCGAUGCGGGUUGCGAGAACGAUACUAAAUUGAGGCAAACUUUGAAUAUUAGAUAUGACCUUAAAAUAAUAGGGGUCAAGGUCGACCAGUGAGACAAUGGGGGAUAAGCUUCAUCGUUGAGAGGGAAAUAGCCCAGAACACCAGCUAAGGCCCCUAAAUGAUCGCUCAGUGAUAAUGGAGGUAGGGGUGUAGAGAUAGUCGGGAGGUUUGCCUAGAAGCAACCACCCUUGAAAGAGAGUGUAAUAGCUCACUGAUCGAGCGCUCUUGCGUCGAAGAUGAACGGGGCUAAGGGAUAUGCCGAAGAUGUUGGAUGUAAAAAUACAUCGGUAGGGAAGCGUUUUGCCUUAGAAGAAAGCCCCCCGUACAAGCACUAAUGGAUGAAGCAGAAGCAAGAAUGUCGACUUGAACAAUGCAAACAUUGGUGAGAAUCCAAUGCCCCAAAAACCUAGGGAUUCCUCCGCAAGGUUUGUCCAUGGAGGGUGAGUCAGGGCCUAAGAUAAGGCCGAAAGGCGUAGUCGAUGGACAACAGGUGAAUAUUCUUGUACUACUUUUUUAGGGUAAGAAGGGGUAGAGAAAAUGCCUCGAGCCAAUGUUCGAGCACCAGCCACUACGGCGCUGAAGUAGCCAUGCCAUACUCCCAGGAAAAACUCGAACGACCUUUAAAUAAAAGGGUACCUAUACCUGAAAUCGCCACAAGUGGGUAGGUAGAGAAUAACUAGGGCCGCGAGAUAACUCUCUCUAAGGAACUUAGCAAAAUAGCCCUGUAACUUUGGGAGAAGGGGUUCCUCCUCACAAAGGGGGUUACAAUGACCAGGCCUAGGCGACUGUUUACAAAAAACACAGGUCUCCACAAAGUCGUAAGAUCAUGUAUGGGGGCUGACGCCUACCCAAUGUCGAAAGGUCAAGGAAGUUGGUGACUUGAUGAUAGGGAAGCCGACGAUCGAAGCCCUUGUGAAUGAUGACCGUAACUAUAAUGGUCCUAAGGUAGCAAAAUUCCUUGUCGAGCAAGUUUCAACCAACAUAAAAGGCGUAACGAUCUGGGUACUGUCUCGGAGAGAUUUUCGAUGAAAUAGAUAUGCCUGUGAAGAUGUGGACUACCUAUACCUCGACAAAAAGACCUUAUGAAGCUUCACUAUUCCCUGGGAUUAGGUUUGGGCCUUUCCUACGCAGCUUAGGUGAAAGGCGAAGAAGGUCUCCUUGCGAGGGGCUCGAGCCAUUAGUGAGAUACCACUCUGGAAGAGCUAGAAUUCUAACCUUGUUUCAGGACCUACGAGCCAAGGGACAGUCUCAAGUAGUAGUUUCUAUGGGGCGUAGGCCUCCCAAAAGGUAAUGGAGGCGUACAAAGCUUUCCUUGAGCCGGACAAAGAUUGGCCCUCGAGUGAAAAGGCAGAAGGGAGCUUGACUGCAAGACCCACGCGUCGAGUAAGGAUGAAAGUCGGCCUUAGUGAUCUGAUGGUGCCGAGUGGAAAGGCCGUCGCUCAAUGGAUAAAAGUUACUCUAGGGAUAACAGGCUGAUCUUCCCCAAGAGCUCACAACGACAGGAAGGUUUGGCACCUUGAUGUUGGCUCUUCGCCACCUGGGGCUGUAUUAUGUUCCAAGGGUUGUGUUGUUCGCCUAUUAAAGUAGUACAUGAGCUGGGUUUAUAACGUCGUGAGAUAGUUUGGUCCAUAUUUGGUGGGGACGUCAGAGCAUUUUGAGGACCUUUCCCUAGUACGAGAGGAUCGAGAACGACGCACCUCUGGUGUAUUAGUUAUCGUGCCAAGGGUAAACACUGGAUAGCCAAGUGUGGAGUAGAUAACUACUGAAAGCAUCUACGUAGUAAGCUCAUCCCAAGAUGAGUGCUCUCCUAUUCUGACUUCUCCAGAGCUUCCGAUAGCACAGUCGAGACAACGACGAGUUCUCUAUCCCUGUCGGGAAGGAGCGAUAGAAGUUUUGAAAUUUCAAGAGAAGGUCACGACGAGACGAGCCAUUUGUCAUUAUGAUAGGUGUCAAGUGGAAGUGCAGUGAUGUAUACAACUGAGGCAUCCUAAUAGACCGGUAGACUUGAAC